GUCUCUAUUUUAUAAAAUUGAAAUAAAAUUUGGGGGUCACCGGCCAUCCAAGAGAUUUUUUGACCUCUGAAAAUGAGUGCAAAUAGGCUAAAUAUAGGGAAAACAGGCAUAAAAUAUCUUUGAUUGAAUUUUAAGAGCAAAAUAAAUAACAGAAGUUGCCUAUUUUUUCAUACUGUAAAGCUUGAUGUCUCUAUUUUAUAAAAUUGAAAUAAAAUUUGGGGGUCACCGGCCAUCCAAGAGAUUUUUUGACCUGUGAAAAUGGGUGCAAAUAGGCUAAAUAUAGGGAAAACAGGCAUAAAAUAUCUUUGAUUGAAUGUUAAGAGCAAAAUAAAUGACAGAAGUUGCUCAUUUUUUUCAUACUGUAAAGCUUGAUAUCACUUUUUUAAAUUGAAAUAAAAUUUGGGGGUCACCGGCCAUCCAAGAGAUUUUUUGACCUCUGAAAAUGAGUGCAAAUAGGCUAAAUAUAGGGAAAACAGGCAUAAAAUAUCUUUGAUUGAAUUUUAAGAGCAAAAUAAAUG
rnacentral:lncRNA from 1 species